GUAUGGUGCAAGCGUUAUCCGGAUUUACUGGGUGUAAAGGGCGCGUAGGUGGUGAGACAAGUCUGAAGUGAAAAUCCGGGGCUUAACCCCGGAACUGCUUUGGAAACUGCCUGACUAGAGUACAGGAGAGGUAAGUGGAAUUCCUAGUGUAGCGGUGAAAUGCGUAGAUAUUAGGAGGUACAUCAGUGGCGAAGGCGACUUACUGGACUGCUACUGACACUGAGGCACGAAAGCGUGGGGAGCAAACAGGAUUAGAUACCCUGGUAGUCCACGCCGUAAACGAUGAAGACUAGGUGUCGGGGCCCAAAGGGCUUCGGUGCCGCAGCCAACGCAAUAAGUAUUCCACCUGGGGAGUACGUUCGCAAGAAUG
rnacentral:rRNA from 1 species